UCUUGAAUGGUCUAGUGGUAAGGAUACCUGCUUGUCAUCAUUCAAACAAGGGAGACAGUCCGCAGGUGGCCGGGGUUCGAUUCCCCGUUCGAGAG